AAAGUGCGAUAACUCAGGUGAAUUGCAACUGGCGCGAAUCCUUGAAACUUUGAACGCAUACCGUGCCCCGGCGUAACAGCCGGGGCGUGUCUGCUUGAGCGUCAAAUGCAAAACAUCGCCGUCCGUCGUCGUCUUCUCGGCGCGGGCGCGCGGACUUGGACCCUGCAGUUCGUUCUGCACCGUCUCAAAUGCAUUGGGUGGGUUCUUCGGCAAGCGUGCCGCCACGAUCCGUCGUCGUUAGGGGGAUUCGUCUUCGCGAUGCGUCGGGUUUUGGCGGCGGCCGAAACGAGCCCGUGCGUACCCAAACGCCGUUCGCUCAACUUCUUGACCUCAAGUCAGGCACGAUCACCCGCCGAAUUUAAGCAU
rnacentral:misc_RNA from 1 species